UUAAAAACUGAUUUUUAGAGUACAAACCUUUGCAAAGUCUUAUUUGUUAUAUUUCAUUUAGGAGGAGAGAUGUUCUGCUCCGCCAUCAGGCUACUGUCCAUAAACCAACCGAGUCAAGUUCUUUUCGCCCAACAUCAUCAUCAAGCACUUUUUCUUUAGCAUCAGCAAGCAUCCCAUCAUCAUCACACAUUCAGGCAUUAUCAAGCCCUCCCUCUCUUUCAAGCCCAUCCUCUAUGUCAAGCUCUUCACCUUUCUCAAGUCCUUCCGCUUCUUCAUCAUCCUCAUCUUUUUUAAACCUUUCUUCUCUAUCAAGCCCUUCCUCUUCAUCCUCAUCAUCCAGCAUUCUCUUAUCUUCCACCACUGUCACAACUACACUCAAUCUUACCUCAUCAAUCAGCUCUUCUAUAAGUUUAUCUUCCCCCUUCUCAUCUCAUUCUCAUUCCAUUGAAUCUCUCUAUCUUGCCCAAACUACUACUUCCAAUAAAACUUUCUGUCCUAACCAAAUUACUACUUGCACCAAAUGCUCGAAAGUUUUUACACAUAAAACCAGUCUCUCAAGGCACAAAUCAAGCAGUACAGCAUGUAGAGUCGCAAAAAUACAAACUCACAGAGUUUGCCAGUUUUGUUGUAAAAUUAUAACCUCUAAAAAUUAUGCGAGACAUAUAAAACGAUUCCAUAAGAGGUUCCUAAGUCAUGAUUUCCUUCACUUCUUUCUUAGAAGUUUUCAGAACUUUUCAUUAGAAUUUUUUUAGCAUUUUUUAUUUUGAGUAAAAAAAGUUUUUUGACAUGAUUGUUUUAAAGUAAAAAUGUUAAAUAAUUAAGAAGGAAAACAUUUUUAACCAAAAAGUAUAAAGCAAAGUUAUAUUUUGUUGUAAUUCAUUUCAUUUUUUAAGGAUAUGUUCCCGAGUGUCACAAUUGUAAUAAAAAAAAUAUGUUGGUUAGUUAGGAAAAAAUGGGAAUUUAAACAUGGAAGGAAAGUUUUCCUUUUUCUUUAUACCUGAUCCCCAAAAUUUAAUAAAUCCCAAUUCUGCCAAUGAACCCCUAAAAAAAUGUUGAACUUCUUAGAUAAAAAAUUACUGUCAGAGAGUGAGGGGACAUAGGUUUUUUAAGAAAUAUACACCCCUGGCUAUUUUUAUCAUACAAAAAGUUGCAGAUUCCAAGUAUCAAGUAAAUCUGAGUUAGUAACCUCUUUUGUUAGCACAUAAAAGAUUGGUAUUUUAAUAAUUUAAAAUAUUUGUGAAAAUAAAGAUGAUUUUUUUGUAA